GAUGAACGCUGGCGGCGUGCCUAAUACAUGCAAGUCGAGCGGACGGACGAGAAGCUUGCUUCUCUGACGUUAGCGGCGGACGGGUGAGUAACACGUGGAUAACCUACCUAUAAGACUGGGAUCACUUCGGGAAACCGGAGCUAAUACCGGAUAAUAUUUUGAACCGCAUGGUUCAAAAGUGAAAGACGGUCUUGCUGCCACUUAUAGAUGGAUCCGCGCUGCAUUAGCGAGUUGGUAGGUUAACGGCUUACCAAGGCAACGGUGCAUAGCCGACCUGUGGGGGGGUUCGCCCCCACUGGAGCUGAGCGGCGGUCCAGAGUCCUAGGGAAGGCCGAAGUUGGUACUCGUCCGCAAAGGGCGAAAUCCUGCAGAAUCAGCGCCGCGUGAGUGAUGAAGCUCUUCGGGUCGGAAAACUCUGUUAGGAGGGAAGACCAUAUGUGUAAGUAACUGAGCACAUCUGGAGGGUACCGAAUCAGAAGACCACGGCUACUUCGGU
rnacentral:rRNA from 1 species